AAGUCGUAACAAGGUUUCCGUAGGUAAACCUGCGGAAGAAUCAUUACCUUUCAAUGCAGCAGAAUAGGGAUAGUUAAGUUUCUCGCCUCUCUGUUCUGCCUGUAUUCUACCCUUGUUUGUCAUAUACUAUUAUUUCCUCAGCAGGCUUGCUUGCCGAGUGAAACCAAUUAUAACCUAUUUAAUUUUCAAUCAGCGUCUGAACAAAAUUAAUAAUUACAACUUUCAACAACGGAUCUCUUGGUUCUA
rnacentral:misc_RNA from 1 species